rnacentral:rRNA from 1 species
GACGAACGCUGGCGGCGUGCCUAAUACAUGCAAGUAGAACGCACAGGAUGCACCGUAGUUUACUACACCGUAUUCUGUGAGUUGCGAACGGGUGAGUAACGCGUAGGUAACCUGCCUGGUAGCGGGGGAUAACUAUUGGAAACGAUAGCUAAUACCGCAUAAGAACAUUUACUGCAUGGUAGAUGUUUAAAAGGUGCAAAUGCAUCACUACCAGAUGGACCUGCGUUGUAUUAGCUAGUAGGUGAGGUAACGGCUCACCUAGGCGACGAUACAUAGCCGACCUGAGAGGGUGAUCGGCCACACUGGGACUGAGACACGGCCCAGACUCCUACGGGAGGCAGCAGUAGGGAAUCUUCGGCAAUGGGGGGAACCCUGACCGAGCAACGCCGCGUGAGUGAAGAAGGUUUUCGGAUCGUAAAGCUCUGUUGUUAAGGAAGAACGAGUGUGAGAAUGGAAAGUUCAUAACUGUGACGGACUAACCA